rnacentral:rRNA from 1 species
CCGUUGUACACACCGCCCGUCACACCAUGGGAGCGGGUUCUGCCAGAAGUAGUUAGCCUAACCGCAAGGAGGGCGAUUACCACGGCAGGGUUCGUGACGUGGGUG